rnacentral:rRNA from 3 species
CGGUUACAUUCCGAACCCGGAAGCUAAGCCUUUCAGCGCCGAUGGUACUGCAUGGGGGACCGUGUGGGAGAGUAGGACGCCGCCGAAC